GCUAGCUCGAGUGCUUCCUAGCGUUUUUAACGUCGGACUUUGGAACGACUUGCUAGUGUGGAUAAGCUUCCGCUUCUGCUUUUUAAUUCAGCGUUUCCCCUUGUAAACACAUGUGCACUUCUGAAAACAUGGAAGCAAUGAAGCUGGUCAAUAUUUUUUUGCUGUGGUCUGAGCUGGAGGAGGACACCGAACGACUCCAUCAGCGGAGGGUUGAACGGAGGAGACGACGGCUCUAUUCUGGGUCUCUGCCAUCAGAAUGUCGAGGCCAGGCAUUACUGCCAAAUCAAUACCACCGUGCCGGUGCUGCAGCGCUUCUUCCAGGGAGAGGACACCCGCCCUGCUUCAGGCUUAGCCGGCAGGCUAUCCAGGUCCUCCUUGGGGUCCUCCAAACGGAGCGACAGCACGGUGGUGACUGCGUGUGCAGUACUGCACAACAUUUGUGUUGGUGUGGGCGAUGACCUCCCAGUGGAGGAUGGGGCCAUGGAGGGAGAUGACCCCUCCUCCUGAAGGAGAAUGUGGCACCGAGUCACAGAUUGGAGCUCCUUGGCGUGCGGCCCUGGCCAAUGCCAUUACCCCUCUUGAAGUGGCUCCACAGGACCACAACUACUUUGUUCUGCCUGUGACCGGACCAAGACAUACAUUUUAACAUAACAUUUUUUGGGGUAUUUUUUAAUCACU
ensembl:lncRNA